rnacentral:rRNA from 1 species
UGAGGAAUAUUGGUCAAUGGACGAGAGUCUGAACCAGCCAAGCAGCGUGCAGGAUGACGGCCCUAUGGGUUGUAAACUGCUUUUGUUUGGGAAUAAUCGACAUUACGUGUAAUGCUUUGCAUGUACCAUUCGAAUAAGGACCGGCUAAUUCCGUGCCAGCAGCCGCGGUAAUACGGAAGGUCCAGGCGUUAUCCGGAUUUAUUGGGUGUAAAGGGAGUGUAGGCGGUUGGUUAAGCGUGUUGUGAAAUGUAGAUGCUCAACAUCUGACUUGGAGCGGGAACUGGCUGACUUGAGUACACACAACGUAGGCGGAAUUCAUGGUGUAGCGGUGAAAUGCUUAGAUAUCAUGAAGAACGCCGAUGGCGAGGGCAGCUUGAGGGAGUGUUACUGACACUUAAGCUCGAAGGUGCGGGUAUCGAACAGG